AGCGAACGCUGGCGGCAGGCUUAACACAUGCAAGUCGAACGGAUCCUUCGGGAUCAGUGGCAGACGGGUGAGUAACACGUGGGAACGUGCCUUUUGGUUCGGAACAACUCAGGGAAACUUGAGCUAAUACCGGAUGUGCCCUUCGGGGGAAGGAUUUAUCGCCAUUAGAGCGGUCCGCGGCCGAUUAGCUAGUUGGCAGGGUAAAAGACCUACCAAGGCAGAGAUCGGUAGCCGGCCUGAGAGGGCACACGGCCACACUGGCACUGAAACACGGGCCAGACUCCUA
rnacentral:rRNA from 1 species